CUCCAGCAGACCCUCCCUCCCAGACCCUCCUACUUCCUGGACAGCAUCCAUGUUGAAACAUGGAUGCUGUCCAGGAAGUAGGAGGGUCUGGGAGGGAGGGUCUGCUGGAG